CACGUAGGGGACGAGCGUUGUCCGGAUUCAUUGGGCGUAAAGCGCGCGUAGGCGGCUCGGAAAGUCGGUCGUGAAAUGCCGGGGCUCAACCCCGGGACUGCGUCCGAUACUUCCGGGCUGGAGGUAGGUAGGGGAGAUCGGAAUUCCUGGUGUAGCGGUGAAAUGCGCAGAUAUCAGGAGGAACACCGGUGGCGAAGGCGGUUCUCUGGGCAUUAACUGACGCUGAGGAGCGAAAGCAUGGGGAGCGAACAGG
rnacentral:rRNA from 1 species